AUUGAACGCUGGCGGCGUGCUUAACACAUGCAAGUCGAUCGGUAACGCGGGGGCAACCCUGGCGACGAGAGGCGGACGGGUGAGGAACGCUUGGGAAUCUGCCCUUCAGCGGGGGACAACACGGGGAAACUCGUGCUAAUACCGCAUACGCUCCACGGAGGAAAGCCGGGGACCGCGAGGCUGGCACUGAAGGAUGAGCCCAAGUCGGAUUAGCUAGUUGGCGGGGUAACGGCCCACCAAGGCGACGAUCCGGAGCUGGUCUGAGAGGACGAUCAGCCACACUGGGACUGAGACACGGCCCAGACUCCUACGGGAGGCAGCAGUGGGGAAUAUUGGACAAUGGGGGAAACCCUGAUCCAGCGACGCCGCGUGGGUGAAGAAGGCCUGCGGGUUGUAAAGCCCUUUCGGUAGGGACGAAAGCUCUCGACCUAACACGUCGGGAGGUUGACUUAACCUACAAAAGAAGCACCGGCUAACUCUGUGCCAGCCGCCGCCGUAACAC
rnacentral:rRNA from 1 species